CAGCCCUCUUUCCUGCACCUGUUCUUGGGUUUCUCUCUGUAGCCUUGGCUGUCCUAAAAGUCACUCUCAUCUAGAAGGUGAGUCAACAUGUACUUUGGGAAGCUUACAUGAGAGAAGCAGAAUGUGGUAUACUAGGAAGGCAGAGAAUACUUAGAAGAGCAAACACAAGGAAUCAGAAAAGUCUUCAGGAAAGACAUGUGGACAUGGCCUUGAAUGUCAGUUUAUGCUGGGCAUUGGAAACAACCUAGUUUCCAGCAAGGGGGAUUCUAAAGGGCCCUUGUUUCCUUUGACGGUCACUGUGGAAUCUCCCUUCAGAACUGCAAGGGCAUUGCUGAUAGAGAACCUAAACACAGCAUAGAUCUUCUAUGAUUAAUGUGAGUGAGUGUCACAGCUCAUGAGUACAUGGCUCUUCUCUACUGUGUCUCUGAAGCCAAUACUGUCAUUUUUUUCUAAUGCUGGGGAUGGAACCCCAAACUCAUAUGCACUAUACAAGUGCUUCUUCAUAGGCUACACUUUUGAAA
rnacentral:lncRNA from 1 species